rnacentral:rRNA from 1 species
GCAGGUGGCAAGCGUUGUCCGGAAUUAUUGGGCGUAAAGCGCGCGCAGGCGGUUCUUUAAGUCUGAUGUGAAAGCCCACGGGCUCAACCGUGGAGGGUCAUUGGAAACUGGAGAACUUGAGUACAGAAGAGGAAAGCGGAAUUCCACGUGUAGCGGUGAAAUGCGUAGAGAUGUGGAGGAACACCAGUGGCGAAGGCGGCUUUCUGGUCUGUAACUGACGCUGAGGCGCGAAAGCGUGGGGAGCAAACAGGAUUAGAUACCCUGGUAGUCCACGCCGUAAACGAUGAGUGCUAAGUGUUAGGGGGUUUCCGCCCCUUAGUGCUGCAGCUAACGCAUUAAGCACUCCGCCUGGGGAGUACGGCCGCAAAGGCUG